rnacentral:rRNA from 1 species
AUGCACUUCGGCGGGGCGAUGGCCGACGGGUGCAGCGGCAUCGGGGCGUGGGUGGUCAACACCCUCCUCAACGCCGCCCUGCUCUGGGUGUUCCUGCACUGCUACGGCACGCGCGGCGUCUGCGACGACGACGCCGUAGCCGCCGCCGUCGCCACGGGCACCUACUCUAGUACAAACAAUUCAUUGGUACUGGCAUCCGCAUCGGCAUUCGGCAUCUGGCAUCCCAAUGAGAUCAGAUGA